AUCCUUUUUUGAUCCUUUUUUUUUUUUAAGAUUUAUUUAUUUAUUUAUUUAUUUAUUUAUUUAUUUAUUUAUUAUAGACAUAGAGAGAGAGAGAGAGGCAGAGACACAGGAGGAGGGAGAAGCAGGCUCCAUGCCGGGAGCCCGACGUGGGACUCGAUCCCAGAACUCCAGGAUUGUGCCCUGGGCCAAAGGCAGGCGCUAAACCGCUGAGCCACCCAGGGAUAUCUGUGACACUUGAUCCUGAUCCUGAAGACUUGGUAAGAACUCAACUAGGAGCUCAACUAGGGGAAGAGGCUAAUGGCAUACUAGACUAGAUUAUGUUGAAGAAUGGACAACUCAAAGAACUUGGUAUGUUUGGGACUUUGGAAUCUCCAUAAUGGAAGGUACCCAUGAGUGAGGGCUGGAGAGAAGUGAGGAGGGGUUUGGACCAGAGCUUGAAAUGUCUUCAAUACCGUGCUGGAUUUCUUCUGUUUGUCUCUCCAGGUAGCUCUUUACCCUUGUCCACCAUGUUCUUGGAAGGUCAUUAGUGGGUCUUUUUGCCCUUCAUCUUCUUAUUGGAUUCCCCCAGCACAGAACUCUGGCAGGAAACUGAAAGAAGGGAGAAGAGUGAGGUCAAAGCAUUUGCUUUGUUGGCUCCUUCCACAAGAAGUCAUCUGGGAUUGGCUGCUUCCCCCAGCUGAGGGUCAUUGGGACUCUAAACCUGGCCAAGUCAACUUGUCCUUUAAGGAUCAGGUGUGUUAUGGGAUGUAUGAUUCUGGAAAGCUGGCCUGGAGCGAGAUUGAUGUGGACCUUGGAUUCUCUGCCAGGGGUUUUGAACUUUUUGCUGCUGAGAAGAGGAGCCAUUAAAGGACAAAUUGAAGAUCAUUAAGAACUUCUUCUCCCUCCGAUGAGUCCUUCUGCCUCAAUGUGCCAUGAGGCUAUCAUAUUUGCCUCCCUCUGUGUGCACAGUUGACGAGCAUAUCACACAGUAGAGGCUAAAGUGGCCACAAGAGGCUGCGUUGAGGUUGCUGGAGAAGAGAGAAGCACACGGCCAGAGAGAAGGUUCAUGGGAUGUCCACUAUUUAGAUGCCUGACUUCAGAGUUAGCCAUGUCUUGGCUCUUGGCAAUUCCUAAGGAAAUUCUGGAUGACGACCCUUGGAAGACUUUCUGGCCCAGGUAAUGCAUUUCAUGUUCUCCUUCAUGUUUCUUCUUUGCCCUUCUCAUGAGUAGACUUAGAUUUAUACACACACACACAAAAGUUUCAGUUCUCAGCUCAGAAGAUAGAAAUUUCUUGACGUCUGAGCAGAAGGGGGAUCACUGAGACUCAAGAAAGCACUUCAUGACCGGGGUCAUGAUGGUGUAUCGAUCAGCGCUGGCUGUUUUCUAUCAGUCAGGGUGGCAUGGGUGGUAACAAACAGCCCCCAGAUAUUUUUUUAACCCUUUUGUGUAAAAUAAAACACAGAUAAUGCAACCCCCGAGAAACAGUAUUUAUCGCCUUAUUAUAAGGCUAACACCCUUGUAACAGGUACUCAAGUUUGGAAACGGAGCUCAGAUGCCCUGUCCCUUGGCUCCCUCCCAAACUAACCAUCUUCUUCACCUUUCUGUAAAAAGCCCCAAAUCGUAAUGGGUGAAAACAA
rnacentral:lncRNA from 1 species